AGUGAACGCUGGCGGUAGGCCUAACACAUGCAAGUCGAACGGCAGCACAGUAAGAGCUUGCUCUUACGGGUGGCGAGUGGCGGACGAGUGAGGAAUACAUCGGAAUCUACUUUUUCGUGGGGGAUAACGUAGGGAAACUUACGCUAAUACCGCAUACGACCUACGGGUGAAAGCAGGGGAUCUUCGGACCUUGCGCGAUUGAAUGAGCCGAUGUCGGAUUAGCUAGUUGGCGGGGUAAAGGCCCACCAAGGCGACGAUCCGUAGCUGGUCUGAGAGGAUGAUCAGCCACACUGGAACUGAGACACGGUCCAGACUCCUACGGGAGGCAGCAGUGGGGAAUAUUGGACAAUGGGCGCGAGCCUGAUCCAGCCAUACCGCGUGGGUGAAGAAGGCCUUCGGGUUGUAAAGCCCUUUUGUUGGGAAAGAAAAGCAGCAGGUUAAUACCCCGCUGUUCUGACGGUACCCAAAGAAUAAGCACCGGCUAACUUCGUG
rnacentral:rRNA from 1 species